GAGUUUGGAUCCUGGCUCAGAAUCAACGCUGGCGGCGCGCCUAACACAUGCAAGUCGAACGAGAAAGUGGAGCAAUCCAUGAGUAAAGUGGCGUACGGUGAGUAACACGUGGGUAAUCUACCUCUUAGUGUGGAAUAACCCUGGGAAACCGGGGCUAAUACCGCAUAAGCUCGAGAGAGGAAAGCAGCAAUGCGCUGAGAGAGGAGCCCGCGGCCGAUUAGCUAGUUGGCAGGGUAAAAGCCUACCAAGGCAAAGAUCGGUAGCCGGCCUGAGAGGGCACACGGCCACACUGGCACUGAAACACGGGCCAGACUCCUACGGGAGGCAGCAGUGGGGAAUCUUGCACAAUGGGAGCAACCCUGAUGCAGCGACGCCGCGUGAGCGAUGAAGCCCUUCGGGGUGUAAAGCUCUUUCGGCAGGGAAGAUUAUGACGGUACCUGCAGAAGCAGCUGCGGCUAACUACGUGCCAGCAGCCGCGGUAAUACGUAGGCAGCAAGCGUUGUUCGGAGUUACUGGGCGUAAAGGGUGUGUAGGCGGUUCUCUAAGUUUGGUGUGAAAUCUCCCGGCUCAACUGGGAGGGUGCGCCGAAUACUGAAGGGCUAGAGUACGGGAGAGGAGAGUGGAAUUCCUGGUGUACGGUGAAAUGCGUAGAUAAUCAGGAGGAACACCGGUGGUGUAAACGGCUCUCUGGACCGUAACUGACGCUGAGACACGA
rnacentral:rRNA from 1 species